GCCAGCUAUAUCACCACGACCACGGGACUCCUGUCGCAGGUUCCAGUAUUCCACCACGCGGCGUCGCCUGCCGAACCCCGAACCUUCUCGAGGUCGAGGCCCCUCCCCUUUCGCCAGGAGGUGCGCACGGCACGACUAAUCUCCACACUCCCCACUAGCUUUUCUUCCCAGUUUGCUCCGAUUUUGAUUCCAUGAAAACAAUGAGCAGGCGCAACAGCCGUACCAUCUAUGUAGGCAAUCUCCCUGGGGACAUCCGUGAGAGGGAGGUUGAGGAUCUCUUCUACAAGUAUGGCCGUAUUUUGGAUAUUGACUUGAAAAUACCUCCGAGACCUCCUGGAUACGCAUUCGUUGAGUUUGAGGAUCCACGUGAUGCUGAUGAUGCAAUUUAUGGCCGUGAUGGGUAUAACUUUGAUGGCUACAGGUUGAGGGUUGAAUUAGCUCAUGGUGGCAGAGGCCAGUCUUAUUCUUAUGAUCGUUCAAGCAGCUAUAGCAGUGCAUGCCGUGGAGGUGUUUCUAGGCGCUCUGAUUUCCGUGUUAUGGUCACUGGUUUACCCUCAUCGGCAUCGUGGCAAGAUCUGAAGGACCACAUGCGGCGCGCUGGUGAUGUCUGUUUCUCUGAUGUAUACCGUGAGGCUGGAGAAACUAUUGGAAUUGUGGAUUAUACAAAUUAUGACGAUAUGAAAUACGCGAUUAGGAAGCUUGAUGACUCACAGUUCAGGAAUGCAUUUUCAAGAGCAUAUAUCAGGGUGAGGGAGUAUGAUGCUAGAUCACGAAGCAGAAGCCGUAGCCACUCGUACUCUAGAAGCCCCAGCUACAGCAGGAGCAGGAGUCCAAAAUCUGUUUCUCAGUCACCCUCAUCUGUGGAUGAAAGGUAUGUGAAUCUAUGUCAUUUAGAAAUGUACAUUUGUGAAACUGAGAGUGCUAAUAUUGUUCGAAGGAACCCGAUUGUCAAAUAAAUGGUGAAAGCAAUCAGAUCUUGUUGUGAAUCAUCAUUGAUGUAUUCUGCACUACACCUAUGGCGCUAAAAAUAUUUGAAUAUGACAUGUCAUCAUUUUGUAUACAAGCUUAAAGCAGGGCCAUGGUGGAUGUAACAACUGAUAGGAGAUUGCACAUUAACUUAAUUAUUUCCUACUAUCUGAUACACUUUCGUCAAACAACGAAAUGCCUUUCCAGAGCUGAGACUGCCUUAUACAAACUUCUACAAAUACAGCUUAAGUUUUUAAGUGUGUGCUCUACCCUAACCUUAUAGAACAUGCUGAAGGUUUGGCUCACAAACUUCUAGAUAAAUCUUUCAAUGUCGUAGCAGGGAGUAUUAGAUCCAUCAGAAGCUUGCCAAAUUGAGAGGGUAUAUAAAGAGGUGUUACCAGAACUUUCCUUCUUUCAAAACAAUAGUUUUGUCGCCUUUUCCUGUCGUAUCAGUCGUCUACAUAGCAUGCCAAAACCCCUCUGUUUCUUUUUCCUCAUGGAAAAGCUUCAGUCCCCUUCUUAUUUAUCAACUUCAUACAACAUUAACCCAUAGUUAUCAUGGCAGCGCGUAGGCGCUGACUAGGCAUCCAAGCGGUCGGCAGUGGAUGCCAUGCCUCGUCGCCUCGCCUGAACCCAGUUAGGCGAUGGUAAGACAUCUCCUAGAAGCCCACCUAGCUGUUGAACUAGGCUUUAAUGGGUCUGCCUUGUGCACUAUACGCCCAGUUUCCUCUUCUUUCCUCUGCUGCCACCACCGUUAGAGCCGCUAGAUCGCUCACGCCGGCUGCCUGCCGCGUGCCUGUGCCGCGCGCCCGCGUGGCCUACACAGUGCACCGCCCACAAGUCGCCUACACCAGCGUUGCUCGUGCGUCGUGCCGCCUGAGCUCGACCAUGGAUGCUUGCUACUUGCUGGAUUUAUAUUUAUUUGCUAGUUUUUCAUAUAUCAUGUGAUAUAUGACUAUAUGUUGCAUUUUUGCUGCUGGAGAAAAGGGCGUCUUGGCAGCACCUAGGCGGUUGUCUAGAACCUAGGCGUCUAGGUGACCGGCUGGCGAGACCGUGGCGCCAUGAUAACCAUGCAUUAGCCUAGAGCUCUUUUUUCUGAGUUGUAACAACAUAUUUUCGUGUUUUAUAUUUUAAACGUAGAAAAAGACUACAGAUAAAAUUCACCCCAGAUUUUAAUGAUAAUAACAAUAUAUUUCAAAAGAUUUUUUUCUGUUUUUUGUUAAAGCAAGAGGAAAAACAAAGUAAGGUGCCAGAAUUUUAACUUGAUAUACUUUGGAACACCUACUAAAAUCAUCUGUGUUAUGUUAUUUUUUUGAUGUAUUGAUAUCUCUUUAAAUUAGUAUAACUUUUUGUGUUGUACUGAUUUCUCUUUAAAAUAGUAUGACAUAAAUUUGCUCUGUGGUUCAAUGAUUAAACAUACCGAGCUUGUUGGCUAACCUCCAUUGUUCAAGGUUUGCUUUUGUUUUUCCUAGAUUUGGCCAUGCGGCGAUCUGGGGGCUGCAUUGAUAUAAUACUGGAUGUUUUGAGAAUCGGAGUGGAUGGUUUGGGACUUCGGAUAGUAGAGAUGGAUUGUGAUGCAUGUAUGACAAGUGGGCUACAAUCAGUCCUAGGAGCAAGAUAGGCUGACAAUCGCUAUCAAGAUCUCGAUCCCCAAUUUCUUCUCCUUCUCAUGCAAGAUAUGCGACAAGCCCUAGGAGCAGAAGCGCAUCCCGUUCUCGGUCUCCUGUGAGAUCCGAUUGAACUUUGAGAGCCCUUGAAGCAGUGAGCAGCCCCAGGGAGAAGAAAGGAACUUGAGAGUAUGCCGUGCCAUCACAAUGGUCCGAGUGAUUAUGCUGUUGCCACUGCUCCCUCACAUUUAAGAGGUUUCCUCUUAUUUAGACGGAGCAUUUAAUUAACAUUAUCUUGCUAAAGAGAGACUUAUGCGUAGUCUACUUGUGUACUCGUUCGUUUGUCCUCAUGUUCUUGGCUUCAGGAACUCUGGUUUUUUAUCAUUGUACCCAUAGUAAAACCUAGAUGUAGUUGGGGUAUGCCGUAUGCGUCUAUAUUCGGUUGGUCGAAUGUAAAUCUGGAUGCAUAUAUGCAUCUGUUUGGUUUCAUUUAGGCCUUUCCUUGGUUUCGUGAUUAAUGACAACAUAAGCUUAUUGCUGUGAUCAAAGUAUAUUUUGUAGAGGUAAUUAAAGCUAGUCACACAAUAAUGGAGAUUGCUUAGACAACGUAUGGUUUU